rnacentral:snRNA from 1 species
GUGCCUGCUUUGGCAGCAUAUUACGAAAAUUGGAACAAUACAGAGAUGAU